GGGUUGUGAGGUUAAGCGACUAAGCGUACACGGUGGAUGCCCUGGCAGUCAGAGGCGAUGAAGGGCGUGCUAAUCUGCGAUAAGCGCCGGUAAGGUGAUAUGAACCGUUAUAACCGGCGAUACCCGAAUGGGGAAACCCAGUGUGACUCGUCACACUAUCAUUAACUGAAUCCAUAGGUUAAUGAGGCGAACCGGGGGAACUGAAACAUCUAAGUACCCCGAGGAAAAGAAAUCAACCGAGAUUCCCCCAGUAGCGGCGAGCGAACGGGGAGGAGCCCAGAGCCUGAAUCAGCAUGUGUGUUAGUGGAAGCGUCUGGAAAGGCGCGCGAUACAGGGUGACAGCCCCGUACACAAAAGCGCAUGUGCUGUGAGCUCGAUGAGUAGGGCGGGACACGUGGUAUCCUGUCUGAAUAUGGGGGGACCAUCCUCCAAGGCUAAAUACUCCUGACUGACCGAUAGUGAACCAGUACCGUGAGGGAAAGGCGAAAAGAACCCCGGCGAGGGGAGUGAAAAAGAACCUGAAACCGUGUACGUACAAGCAGUGGGAGCCCCACCACCAAAGCAUUCUCUGGUGUUGAAGGCCCUGCAAAGCAGCAUCGCGGUGGCGGAGCGUCGUUUGCGACGCCCAACGCACAAAACAAGCGGUGAGUGCUUUGGGGUGGGGUGACUGCGUACCUUUUGUAUAAUGGGUCAGCGACUUAUAUUCUGUAGCAAGGUUAACCGCAUAGGGGAGCCGUAGGGAAACCGAGUCUUAACCGGGCGUUAAGUUGCAGGGUAUAGACCCGAAACCCGGUGAUCUAGCCAUGGGCAGGUUGAAGGUUGGGUAACACUAACUGGAGGACCGAACCGACUAAUGUUGAAAAAUUAGCGGAUGACCUGUGGCUGGGGGUGAAAGGCCAAUCAAACCGGGAGAUAGCUGGUUCUCCCCGAAAGCUAUUUAGGUAGCGCCUCGUGAAUUCAUCUCCGGGGGUAGAGCACUGUUUCGGCUAGGGGGCCAUCCCGGCUUACCAACCCGAUGCAAACUGCGAAUACCGGAGAAUGUUAUCACGGGAGACACACGGCGGGUGCUAACGUCCGUCGUGAAGAGGGAAACAACCCAGACCGCCAGCUAAGGUCCCAAAGUCAUGGUUAAGUGGGAAACGAUGUGGGAAGGCCCAGACAGCCAGGAUGUUGGCUUAGAAGCAGCCAUCAUUUAAAGAAAGCGUAAUAGCUCACUGGUCGAGUCGGCCUGCGCGGAAGAUGUAACGGGGCUAAACCAUGCACCGAAGCUGCGGCAGCGACGUUUAUGCGUUGUUGGGUAGGGGAGCGUUCUGUAAGCCUGCGAAGGUGGCCUGUGAGGGUUGCUGGAGGUAUCAGAAGUGCGAAUGCUGACAUAAGUAACGAUAAAGCGGGUGAAAAGCCCGCUCGCCGGAAGACCAAGGGUUCCUGUCCAACGUUAAUCGGGGCAGGGUGAGUCGACCCCUAAGGCGAGGCCGAAAGGCGUAGUCGAUGGGAAACGGGUUAAUAUUCCCGUACUUGGUGUUACUGCGAAGGGGGGACGGAGAAGGCUAUGUUGGCCGGGCGACGGUUGUCCCGGUUUAAGCGUGUAGGUGUGUGUUCCAGGUAAAUCCGGUUCACUUUAACACUGAGGCGUGAUGACGAGGCACUACGGUGCUGAAGCAACAAAUGCCCUGCUUCCAGGAAAAGCCUCUAAGCAUCAGGUAACAUCAAAUCGUACCCCAAACCGACACAGGUGGUCAGGUAGAGAAUACCAAGGCGCUUGAGAGAACUCGGGUGAAGGAACUAGGCAAAAUGGUGCCGUAACUUCGGGAGAAGGCACGCUGACACGUAGGUGAAGUGAUUUACUCAUGGAGCUGAAGUCAGUCGAAGAUACCAGCUGGCUGCAACUGUUUAUUAAAAACACAGCACUGUGCAAACACGAAAGUGGACGUAUACGGUGUGACGCCUGCCCGGUGCCGGAAGGUUAAUUGAUGGGGUCAGCGCAAGCGAAGCUCCUGAUCGAAGCCCCGGUAAACGGCGGCCGUAACUAUAACGGUCCUAAGGUAGCGAAAUUCCUUGUCGGGUAAGUUCCGACCUGCACGAAUGGCGUAAUGAUGGCCAGGCUGUCUCCACCCGAGACUCAGUGAAAUUGAACUCGCUGUGAAGAUGCAGUGUACCCGCGGCAAGACGGAAAGACCCCGUGAACCUUUACUAUAGCUUGACACUGAACAUUGAGCCUUGAUGUGUAGGAUAGGUGGGAGGCUUUGAAGUGUGGACGCCAGUCUGCAUGGAGCCGACCUUGAAAUACCACCCUUUAAUGUUUGAUGUUCUAACGUGGACCCGUUACCCGGGUUGCGGACAGUGUCUGGUGGGUAGUUUGACUGGGGCGGUCUCCUCCUAAAGAGUAACGGAGGAGCACGAAGGUUGGCUAAUCCUGGUCGGACAUCAGGAGGUUAGUGCAAUGGCAUAAGCCAGCUUGACUGCGAGCGUGACGGCGCGAGCAGGUGCGAAAGCAGGUCAUAGUGAUCCGGUGGUUCUGAAUGGAAGGGCCAUCGCUCAACGGAUAAAAGGUACUCCGGGGAUAACAGGCUGAUACCGCCCAAGAGUUCAUAUCGACGGCGGUGUUUGGCACCUCGAUGUCGGCUCAUCACAUCCUGGGGCUGAAGUAGGUCCCAAGGGUAUGGCUGUUCGCCAUUUAAAGUGGUACGCGAGCUGGGUUUAGAACGUCGUGAGACAGUUCGGUCCCUAUCUGCCGUGGGCGCUGGAGAACUGAGGGGGGCUGCUCCUAGUACGAGAGGACCGGAGUGGACGCAUCACUGGUGUUCGGGUUGUCAUGCCAAUGGCACUGCCCGGUAGCUAAAUGCGGAAGAGAUAAGUGCUGAAAGCAUCUAAGCACGAAACUUGCCCCGAGAUGAGUUCUCCCUGAGACUUAGAGUCUCCUGAAGGAACGUUGAAGACGACGACGUUGAUAGGCCGGGUGUGUAAGCGCAGCGAUGCGUUGAGCUAACCGGUACUAAUGAACCGUGAGGCUUAACCUUACAACGCCGAAG
rnacentral:rRNA from 2 species